GACAACCCCGUAAUUUUCGCGAUAGAGUAGAUUUGUUAAUAAUUUGAACGAUAGUGAGGUAAAACUAAAGUACAGAUUAUCCAGGCAGCCAAUAAAUGAUUUGCACGACCUCAUUGAAGACGACAUUAAACCAAAAACCAUGCGAAUUCAUGCCACUCCAGUGAUGACAAAGCUCCUCAUAACACCGCAGUUGUUGGCGAAAGGGGAAUUCUAAAGUGAGGGUGGACUUGUUUAUGGCGUCUCCAGAAGCUCUGUAUGUGUAUGAUACUAUCUGUUUGGCAAAUGCCUUCAUAAAACAGGAGGAUUUUUGCAGAUCACCCCAGAGAAGUUUGCUGCACAGCAUUAUUGUGCAUUGAUGGAGGGGUGCAGUUUGAUGGACAGAUUCAAGUUGCACCAGGAAAUGCACCACCACACUUGUGGCUAGUUGACCCAAAUGACCAGAGGGCAAGAGCAGCCCUCAUUGCCAGAUUUCAAUAUAAAUACCCUGGAUGUGUUAGUUAGUCAUCCAAAACAUUUAUUGUUAUUUAAACAUUUAUUGUUAUUUUUGUCUUCACAAGUGUCAAAAUGCUUACCAUUCCAUUUUUAAUGAACUUUUGGUUAUUAAAAACUGUUAUUUUUUCUUUUAUAGUUAUUUUGAACAAUUUCAACCGUUUAAAUUGUAAUGAAUAGACAUUUGAGGUUAUUUUUUAAACAUUGUUAAC